rnacentral:rRNA from 1 species
CCUGCCCAGUGAUAUAAUUCAACGGCCGCGGUAUCCUAACCGUGCAAAGGUAGCAUAAUAACUUGCCCAUUAAUUGUGGGCUAGAAUGAAUGGAUUAACGAAAUAAAAUCUGUCUCUGUGGCAAUACAAUAAAUUAAUAUCUAACCGAAGAAUGUUAGAUAAUUUUGUAGGACAAGAAGACCCUAUAGAGCUUUAUCUAAAAGGGGUUAUUUCCUCUAAGAUUCGGUUGGGGCGACUGGGGUAUUUAUUUAAUCAACCUCAAUAAUUAGAUUUACUAAUCUUAACUCUGACCCUUAUAAGAUCAACGAAAUAAGCUACCUUAGGGAUAACAGACUAAUCCCCCUAAAGAGUCCUUAUCUACAGGGGGGGUUGGCACCUCGAUGUUGGCUUAGGGAAGUAAUAUAACGCAAAAGUUAUAUAGUUUGGUUUGUUCAACCAAUAACACCCUACAUGAGCUGAGUUCAGACCGGCGUAAGCCAGGUUAGUUUCUAUCCACAAUAAUAAAUUCAAGUUACAGUACGAAAGGACCUAACUAGGGUAAUAAUUACUUAUUUAGAAAUAGUAUAACUUAUCAUUUAACAAUUUAAAUAAAUACUA